rnacentral:tRNA from 1 species
GCCGUAGCGCAGAGGUCGUCGCAUCGCCCUGCACAGGCGAAGGACGCCGGUUCGAAUCCGGCCGGC